UACGGGGGAGCAAGCGUUGUUCGGAUUUACUGGGCGUAAAGGCGCGUAGGCGGCCACCGCAAGUCGACUGUGAAAUCUCCGGGCUUAACCCGGAAAGGUCAGCCGAUACUGCGGGCUAGAGUGCAGAAGGGCAACUGGAAUUCUCGGUGUAGCGGUGAAAUGCGUAGAUAUCGAGAGGAACACCUGCGGCGAAGGCGGGUGCUGGGCUGACACUGACGCUGAGGCGCGAAAGCUAGGGAGCGAACGGG
rnacentral:rRNA from 1 species